UGGGGAAUGUUGGACAAUGGGCGCAAGCCUGAUCCAGCUAUUCCGCGUGUGGGAUGAAGGCCCUCGGGUUGUAAACCACUUUUGUAGAGAACGAAAAGACACCUUCGAAUAAAGGUUGUUGCUGACGGUACUCUAAGAAUAAGCAUCGGCUAACUACGUUCCAGCAGCCGCGGUAAUACGUAGGGUGCGAGCGUUAAUCGGAAUUACUGGGCGUAAAGGGUGCGCAGGCGGUUGAGUAAGACAGAUGUGAAAUCCCCGAGCUUAACUCGGGAAUGGCAUAUGUGACUGCUCGACUAGAGUGUGUCAGAGGGAGGUGGAAUUCCACGUGUAGCAGUGAAAUGCGUAGAUAUGUGGAAGAACACCGAUGGCGAAGGCAGCCUCCUGGGACAUAACUGACGCUCAGGCACGAAAGCGUGGGGAGCAAACAGGA
rnacentral:rRNA from 1 species